AAAUGAGAUAAUAUACAAUAUAAAUAUAAAACCUAAAUGAAUCGAAAUUAAUUCUAUCUUCCUUCUUCUAGGAAACUCUUCUAAAGCUUUAACUUUUAAGUUCAACGCCUGGGACAGAGCUGUAUAGAUCUGUCCUUAUAAAAAUGCUUUGUUUUCAGCUUUUGGUCGGAAUGUUGGAGUAGCACUUCGCGUUGUUGUUGUUGUUGUUGUCGGUUUCUUUCUGAAGAGUUCUCGUCGGGCUGCUGUCCACGCCGAGUUGCAGAUUUUUCCGGAGCUGCUGGCCGGUGGGAAGCGCUGGUCGCUGCUGCUGGUGCCUGCCGUUUGUUGCUGGAGUCGCUGGUGUCGGAGCUGCUCCUCUCUAGGUUGCUGCUGCCUGCAAAAGAAGAAGGAGAAGAGAAGAGGGGCGAGAGGGAGAAG
rnacentral:misc_RNA from 1 species